UACGUAGGAUGCAAGCGUUAUCCGGAAUUAUUGGGCGUAAAGCGAACGUAGGCGGUUUCAUAAGUCUGGGGUUAAAGACCAAGGCUUAACCUUGGGAGUGCCCUGGAAACUAUGAGACUGGAGGACGGCAGAGGAAAGUGGAAUCCCAGUGUAGCGGUGAAAUGCGUAGAGAUUGGGAGGAACACCAGUGGCGAAAGCGACUUUCUGGGCCGUUCCUGACGCUGAGGUUCGAAAGCCAGGGGAGCAAACGGG
rnacentral:rRNA from 1 species